CUUUUCAAAGAACCAGCUCUUGGUUUUAUUGAUUUUUUCCUAUUUUUUUAAAUCUCUAUUUUAUUGAUUUCAUCUUUGAUCUUGAUGAUUUCCUUCCUUCUGAUGACUUUAGGGUUUGUUCAUUCUUCCUUUUCUAAUAUAUUUAGGUGUUGGGUUAAGAUGUUAAUUUGAGAUUUUUCCUCUUUUUUGAGGAAGGCCUGUAUUGCUAUGAAUUUCCCUCUGAGUACUGCUUUUGGGCCAACCCAUAGAUUUUGAAUGGAUGUGUCUUUAUUAUCAUUUGUCUCAAGGUAUUUUUUAAUUUUCUUCUUCAUUUCCUGAUUGACCCAUCGGUUUUUUAGUAGCAUGUUGUUUAGUCUCCAUAUAGUCAAUUUUUUUCUAAUUUCCUUUCCUGUGGUAGAUUUCUAGUUUCAUGCCACUGUGGUCAGAGAAGAUACUUGAAAUAAUUUCUAUACUAUUAAAUUUGUUGAGGUUAGCUUUGUGCCCCAGGAUGUGAUCAAUUCUUGAGAAUGUUCCAUGUGAACUUGAGAAUGUAUAUUCUGAUUUUUGUGGAUGGAAUGUCCUGAAAUUGUUGAUUAAGUCUAACUUUUCUAGUGUGUCCUUUAGGAUUUCUGUUGCCUUAUUGAUUUUCUGUCUAGAGGAUCUGUCCAUUGUUGUGAGUAGGGUGUUAAAGUCUCCUACUAUGAUUGUAUUCCCAUCGAUUUCUCCUUUUAUGUCUGUUAGUAUUUGUUGGAGGUAUCUGGGUGCACCUAUAUUAGGGGCAUAUAUAUUGACGAUUAUAAUAUCCUCUUCUUGAAUGGAUCCUUUAACCAUUAAAUAGUGUCCUUCUUUGUCUUUCUUAAUGGCCUUCAUUUUAAAUUCUAUUUUGUCUGAUAUGAGUAUUGCCACUCCUGCUUUCCUGUCGUGUCCAUUGGCAUGAAAUAUCUUUUCCCAUCCCCUCACUUUCAAUCUAUAUGUGUCCUUUGCUCUAAGGUGAGUUUCUUGUAGGCAGCAGAUCGAAGGUUUUUGCUUUUUCAUCCAACCUGCCACUCUGUGUCUUUUGUUUGGAGCAUUUAGUCCAUUGACAUUAAAGGUGGAUACUGAUAGAUAUGAAUUUAUUGCCAUUUUAAACUUUGUUUUCCAGUUGACUCUAUGUUUCUCUUCUUUUUGGUACUUCUCUUUUUAUUUUUUGUGAAUGUAAUGUUUGCUUUUGAUUGAUGGCUGCCCAGUUUUUUAAGCAUGUUAAGCCCUUCCUAUAUCUGCUUGCUCUUGCCUCAUAGUCAUAUAGGCUCAGACACAUCAUUAAAAAAAAAAAGAAUCUGUAUUUUCUUACUUUCCUUCCCCACAUUGUAUGAUUUUGAUUUUUUAACAUCUUCAUGUGUAGAUCUGUAUGCUGGCUUAAGUGAUUGCUUUCCAAUUGUUGUUUCCUUCAUCCUAAUUCUUUUUCUCCUUUCUCUCUCUCUCUUUUUUUUUUAAUUUAGAGGAGCCCUUUCAGUAUUUCUUUUAGAAUAGGUUUCGUACUGCUGUACUUUUAACUUUUGUUUGUUGGAGAAAUUCUCUAUUUCCCCCUCUAAUUUAAAUGAUAUUCCUGCUGGAUAGAGUAUUCCGGGUUGCAAUUUUUUUCCUUUCAGCACUGUAAAUAUAUCUUCCCUUCUGGCCUGUAGUGUUUCUGUAGAGAAAUCAGCUGAUAGCUUUAUGAAUCCCUUAUAUGAAUCCCUUAUAACUAAUGCUUUGCAUUCUCUUGCUGCCUUUAGAAUCCUCUCUUUAUCUUUAAUUUUGCCAUUUUUAUUAUAUGUCUUGGUAUGGGCCUGUUUGGGUUCAGCUUGUUUGGGGCCCUCUGUGCUUCCUGUAUCUUGAUAUCAGUAUGCUUUAGAUUUGGAAAAUUUUCAGCCAUAAUUUCUUCAAAUACAUUUUCAAUCCCCUUUUCUUCUUCUUUUCCUUCUGGAAUUCCUAUUGUGCAUAGAUUGGCCUGCUUAAAUUAUCUCAUAGGUCUCUUGGAUUACUUUCAUGUUUUUUCAUUUGGUUUUCUGUCUGCUGUCCUGAUUGGGUGAUUUCCAUUAUUUUAUCUUCCAUGUCACUAAUUCGUUCCUCUGCAUUAUUCAUUCUGCUCUUUAGUGCAUUAAGCUCUGUUUGUAUCUCUGCAAAUGAAUUUUCUAGUUUUUCUUGGUUCCUCCUUAUAUUUUCUAGUUCCUUUCUAAAGGAAUCUGCUUUCAUUCAUAUCCUCUCUUAAUUCCUUCAGUAUUUUCAAUACCUCCCUUUUGCACUCAAUGUCUGUCACACUGCAGAGGUCUGUUUCAUUGUUUUAUGCUUUAGGUGAAUUCUCCUGUUCCUUUAACUGGGAAUGGUUUCUGUGCUUCUUUAUCUUGCUUGUGUUUUUCUUUGAGUUCAGGGAAGCCAAACUGUAGUCUUGUAAGGCUACUUCUAUGCAAGAAUACCCCUUUUUAUUUUGGGGGAUUACUACUUAUUUUUGGUGUGGGAGUUUGAAUAUUUGUUGUGAGCAGGGUGUUGUUCCCAGGAUGCUCACUAUGUUUUCAGUGCCUGGUCAUUGGGAUCUCAAUAGCAGCAAGGACCUGAAGGAAGGUAGCACAGGCUACUCCUAGUUGCAGGGCCCUGGGAAGUGGUAAUAAGCUCUAGGCAGAUCUUUAAGGUGACUAGAGCAUUUGGCAGUAGCAGCAGCAGGGUGCGUGAGUUCCCUAGGGAGUGAGAGCAACAACAGCUUGUGUUUGAUUACAAAGCCCUCCUCUGAGGUGAUUGGAACUGCAGGUGGUGCCUGUUCAGGGACCCCUAUUGGGAGUAGGCCAUGACCAUCUCUAGAGUCAGUGAUAACUGUGAUGGUUGCUCCCACCACCUGUAGACCAUGCAUGAAGAAACACAUCUCACUUAGCCCACAUAUGAUGUGUUGUAAAAGGUGCUCCUAGUUGCAGGAUCCUGGGAAGCAACAGAUAUCAGGCAUGUGAGUACUGCACAGAAUGUGUGGCAGUGGCAGCAGCAAGGCAGGUGUGCUCCUGGGGGUGUGAGAGCAUUGACAGGUGGUGCUCAGUUAUAAUGCCCUUGUCUGUAGUGCCCUUUAGGUGAAAAGGGCUGCAAGUGACUUUUGUUCUGAUACCUCCAAUGGCAGUGGGCCACACCCCACCUCUGGAAUCAGGGAUAACUGUGGCAGUUUGCCCCUGCCUCCUGCAGACCACGCAAGAAGCACCCUGUCUACUUAGUCCAUGCAGGAGGUGCUGCACCAGUUGCUCCUAGUUGUAGGGUCUUGGGAAGGGACAGUGACCAAGUGUCUGGGGGUCACCCAGAGCAUUUGGCAGUGGCAGCUGCAGGUUGGGUGUGUUCCCAGGGGAGUGAGAGCAACAGAGUAUGGUACUUGGUUGCAAUGCCCUCUUUUUUUCUUUUUUAGCAACCCCUAAGGUGACUGUAGUCACUAGUGGAGCCUACUCACAGGCCCCCAGUGGUGGCAAACCAUGCCUCCCUCUAGCCUCUGAGAUGAUUGCCACAGUCUGUCCCUGCCACCUGUGGAUCAUGAAAGAGGCACCAUGUUGCAUUUAGCCCACACAAUAGGUGCCUGGCCACCAGUAACUGGCACAACAAGCCCCUAAUCUCCCUUAAUCGAGCAAGAGGAUUCUCUCCCCCUGUAGCCUCCACAGAGCUGCCCCAACCUCUAAGCCUGUGGGCAUGCACGCAUGCUCCAGCACAGGGAUUUUCCUAUGGCAGCCUGUCCUCCUCCUCUCCCCUCCCCAACAAUGGCACCUUGCUUCUCGUGUGGGUCCAGACCUUCUCAUGGGUUCCCUCUGCUGUCGUGCUCCCCUCCUUAGGCCAUGGCACACUGCUCCUUAGCCCCUCAUGCCAUCCCCAGUUCUCGCCCAGGGACUGACCUCCUGAGCCUGAGUCUCAGCGCCAGGCCCUGCCCUAGCAUCUCAGGCUGUGGUGUCCAGGCUGGUGGUUCAGAUGAUCUGUGUGGCUAUCACUCUGCUUUGCUGUUCUCAGUCUAGCUGCUACACUUUUCUCGGUGACUUUGAGGUCCUGCCGACUCAGCCAAUCUUUCUGUCAGUUAGGUGGCUUCCCAGGAGGUGGGUCCUUUUCUCCUUCACAGCUCCCUCUUGGGAAUGCUAGUCCCACCCUUAUUCCUUUCCUCUCUCUUUUUUCCUUUUGUUCUACCCAGUUAUGUCAAGAUUCUCUUGCCAUUUUUGGAGGUUUAAGUUCCUCUGCCAGCAUCCAGUUGAUGUUCUGUGCGAGUAGUUUUACAUGUAGAUGUGUGUUUUUGAUGUGUUUGUGGGAGAAGGUGAGUGUGACCUCUUGCUCCUCCACCCUCUUGCUCCGCCUCCUACAUGUUCUUUAAAGUCAGUCUUCCCUGAAUGGACAGAGUUCACUACUAUCCUUUCCCAAAUCCAAGCUUCUAGGGGAAAACUCAACCAUUCCCAACUUGAAUAAGAAAGGUUUUGUUAUGAAUAUCAAUUGAAAUAUUUUUACGGGUCCCAUACCAUUUACACUUUUCAUAAAAGUGGGCAAUGUGAGCUCUGGCACUGGAAUCUGAGUGCCUGAUUCCAACGCGACACAAUGCCUCAGGUUUCAGAGCCUGUUAGUUGUCAGGAACCUACACUAACACAGCACCAGUAAUAAAGUAAAUAUUACUCAUGGCCACAGAAAACUGCUGCGGGUCCCCACAAAACAUAAAGGUGUCCAAAGCAUGCCUUUUGCUGUAGUUGUCAUUGCGACGUUACUUUAUUAGGAUUCCAGAGAACUAGGUCAAUAUUAGAAAAUUGGACAUCACCCCAGUCAUUACAUUUUGUUGACAGCUUAGCUGUGCCAUAACUUGAAUCUCAGUUCCUCACAUUUAGCAGACAGAAUAGAUUUCUGUUUCCAAUAAGCUCUCAACAGAAAGGAUCUAUGAAGACUGCAUGUUUACAAAAGUCUGUGCAAUGUAACGAGAAAAAAUAUGAGUGCAUCUGAUAAACUGCAGACCCUCAAAGACUUUCUACAUGUGGGAUCUCAUUAAGCUUCCUAAACUAAGCAAGAAUAUGAAAAGGUACACAAUUUAGGAAUACAGAUGAAGAAUUAUUCCGGAUACAAAUGUUAAGUUGGAAACAUAAAUACUACCCAAGAAUUAUCUGUUUUCCUUAAUAACUAUAUAAGCUGCCAACCAAAACAUGUCAUCAAUGAAUGUAUUUAGUGUAGAUAUGCACUUAAAUUUCCAUGUUAUACCUAAAUACUGACACUAUACCAACACUGACACUAAACACUGUAUCUCAGUGUAUGGCACUAUGAGACCAAAUGAGAGGUGUAACACAGCUCUAUCUUUUUAGAAGCACUGUUACAGUUUACAACUGAGGGUAAGUGAAUUACGUUAACAAAAUGAGUUAUGUUAACAAAUUAUGCUAACAAAGUUUUGAUAGAAUGUUGAUUUAAUGUUGCACCACCAAAAUUAUUUUAUUCAUUAUCUCUGUUUUGUUUGUUUUGCUUAAGCUUUUAACUCUCAAACUUCUAUACUUAGAGACAUCGAUGUCUCUAAACAUUACCCUUCUGAUGUAAGAGGUAACAGAAAUGUCUUUUGGAUUGUGCUAUAUCUGCCUCAUUAUCAUUAAAUUCAUUUAUCCAAGCAAGUUCCAUUUAGGACAUGGAAGAAAACAUGUGUUCCAUUUUGAAUGAUAGGUAUCAGAAGCAACACUUCAUUAAUAUUAUUCUCUUUUGGAGAGUGAAAUAGGAUUAUAUUUGUACUUUUAGAAGCCAUUAAAAAUAUUUUCUCCAUUGACAUUCUAUCAAAAUGUAAUAUUUUCUAAAUAUAUUGCAAUAUUCAAAAUAGUUUGGGCUUCUUAGACUAUAUGAUCAUAAAUCUGGAAUAUUAAUAAGACUCAGUUGAAAGAACUUCAGAGAUUUUUUUUUCUCUAAAAUAUAUAUUGGAAAAUUUUGACCUAGACCCUUUCUUUAAAUUUUAUUGGGGUAUAGUUGAUUUACAAUGUUGUUGUGUUAGUUUCAGGUGUACAGUUAAGUUCAGAGAUUUUAGAAAUGGGAUACAGACAUACCAAACUCAAAAGGGUAUGAAACAUACAGUAACAAUUCUAAAAUGAGAUUCCUUCUCUGUUGGUUUCUGCUAGAGCCCCCAAAAGGCAAGAACAAAAUAAUAGAAGGCAAUAGUUCAAACUAGAUUUCCUAGACCAUACAGGCAAGAUAUGAAAAAGAGAUAUAUUAGUUUGCCUGGGCCACCAUAGCAAAUUUACACAGACCAGGUAGCCUAAAUAAUAAAUUCUCACAAUUCUAGAGACUAGUUUCCAACAGGAUUGGU
rnacentral:lncRNA from 1 species